rnacentral:rRNA from 1 species
UACAGAGGGUGCGAGCGUUAAUCGGAAUUACUGGGCGUAAAGCGCACGUAGGCGGCUUGGUAUGUCGGGUGUGAAAUCCCCGGGCUCAACCUGGGAACUGCAUCUGAAACUGCCUUGCUCGAGUAUGGGAGAGGGAAGUGGAAUUUCCGGUGUAGCGGUGAAAUGCGUAGAUAUCGGAAGGAACAUCAGUGGCGAAGGCGACUUCCUGGACCAAUACUGACGCUCAGGUGCGGAAGCGUGGGGAGCAAACAGG